rnacentral:rRNA from 1 species
UAGAGUUUGAUCAUGGCUCAGAUUGAACGCUGGCGGCAGGCCUAACACAUGCAAGUCGAGCGGUAACAGAAAGUAGCUUGCUACUUUGCUGACGAGCGGCGGACGGGUGAGUAAUGCUUGGGAACAUGCCUUGAGGUGGGGGACAACAGUUGGAAACGACUGCUAAUACCGCAUAAUGUCUACGGACCAAAGGGGGCUUCGGCUCUCGCCUUUAGAUUGGCCCAAGUGGGAUUAGCUAGUUGGUGAGGUAAUGGCUCACCAAGGCGACGAUCCCUAGCUGGUUUGAGAGGAUGAUCAGCCACACUGGGACUGAGACACGGCCCAGACUCCUACGGGAGGCAGCAGUGGGGAAUAUUGCACAAUGGGCGCAAGCCUGAUGCAGCCAUGCCGCGUGUGUGAAGAAGGCCUUCGGGUUGUAAAGCACUUUCAGUCAGGAGGAAAGCGUGGUGGUUAAUACCCAUCAUGUGUGACGUUACUGACAGAAGAAGCACCGGCUAACUCCGUGCCAGCAGCCGCGGUAAUACGGAGGGUGCGAGCGUUAAUCGGAAUUACUGGGCGUAAAGCGUACGCAGGCGGUUUGUUAAGCGAGAUGUGAAAGCCCCGGGCUCAACCUGGGAACUGCAUUUCGAACUGGCAAACUAGAGUGUGAUAGAGGGUGGUAGAAUUUCAGGUGUAGCGGUGAAAUGCGUAGAGAUCUGAAGGAAUACCGAUGGCGAAGGCAGCCACCUGGGUCAACACUGACGCUCAUGUACGAAAGCGUGGGGGAGCAAACGGGAUUAGAUACCCCGGUAGUCCACGCCGUAAACGAUGUCUACUAGAAGCUCGGAGCCUCGGUUCUGUUUUUCAAAGCUAACGCAUUAAGUAGACCGCCUGGGGAGUACGGCCGCAAGGUUAAAACUCAAAUGAAUUGACGGGGGCCCG